AACGAACGCUGGCGGCACGCCUAACACAUGCAAGUCGAGCACUUCACUUCGGUGAGGAGCGGCGGACGGGUUAGUAACGCGUGGGAACAUACCCUUUUCUACGGAAUAGCCUCGGGAAACUGAGAGUAAUACCGUAUACGCCCCUCGGGGGAAAGAUUUAUCGGUGAAGGAUUGGCCCGCGUAAGAUUAGAUAGUUGGUGGGGUAAUGGCCUACCAAGUCUACGAUCUUUAGCUGGUUUGAGAGGAUGAUCAGCAACACUGGGACUGAGACACGGCCCAGACUCC
rnacentral:rRNA from 2 species